AGCAGCCGCGGUAAUUCCAGUUCCAAUAGCGUAUAUUAAAGUUGUUGCAGUUAAAAAGCUCGUAGUUGAAUUUCGGGAUUGACACAUCGGUCGUGCCUUAAGGGGUAUGAACUGGUGUAGUCAAUUUCUCACCUUCUGGAGAACCGCGAUGCCCUUAAUUGGGUGUCGCGGGGAACCAGGACCUUUACUUUGAAAAAAUUAGAGUGUUUAAAGCAGGCAUUUUGCUUGAAUACAUUAGCAUGGAAUAAUAAAAUAGGACGGCAUGAUUCUAUUUUGUUGGUUUCUAGGAUCACCGUAAUGAUUAAUAGGGAUAGUUGGGGGCAUUAGUAUUCAAUUGUCAGAGGUGAAAUUCUUGGAUUUAUUGAAGACUAACUACUGCGAAAGCAUUUGCCAAGGAUGUUUUCAUUAAUCUAAGAACGAAAGUUAGGGGAUCGAAGACGAUCAGAUACCGUCGUAGUCUUAACCAUAAACUAUGCCGACUAGGAAUCAGACGAUGUUAAUUUUUUAAUGACUCGUUGGC
rnacentral:misc_RNA from 1 species